CCAAUGAGUGUCGAGUGAGUGAACAUGAGAUCUAAGGAAUCCGAAGAGUGGGCCCCUUCGGGGCGUGAACUACAACGACUUUCCAACAGGUUUAACCGCCAAUGAGCUCUUUCUCGGAAAAGGUCCUCCCCUGAACAGCGAGCGACGAAGCACAAACCACAAACCAGCAGAGCACCCCCAAAAAAUCCACCGCCAUUUGGGUCCCUGUCAGUAAAAAUCUCGAACACCUAGUUCGCAGAUAUCCGAACCCUAUAAAUAGCUGCCCGUAAUCACCGUUCACCGACCAAAUGCCAUCUCCUAUUUUCCUUGUAACAACGUAGUCUACACCUGCAGAUAUUCUGUUUCUUCGUUUCCUCCCUCUCUCUAGUGUACAACAGGCUAGUUAUCAGCAUCAAUGGAUUUCUAGAGAUAAACCCGUCUUUCUUCCAACAAAAUCUCCCCCGUCUUCUUCAGCUUCGUUAGAAACUUCUGCUGCUCUGUCUGGGAGUGGCGGCCCUUCUGGUGAAAAUCCUGGGUUUCCUCCGAUUCCCGCCUCGGUGUGGCCUUCUUCGUCUUCUAUGUCAGUGGGGUUUAAGGCAUCUUUUACUCAAGCUUGUUCUUUUGGUGAAAGUUCGGCUUUGGCCGGUUCGUCUUCUUCUGCUUCGGCUUCUCCAUUGGCGGAGCAUGAAGGUUUCUGUUCUAUGGACCCUUCUGUUUCUGUGAAGAUGGAAUCCAUAGGAAGCUCUUCUGGAGACAAAACCCCAUUUUUAUCGUCUCCUCGGUUGAUAACCGAAUCUGAAGCAGCUGGGGGAGGUUUUACAUCGGUGAGGGGCAGUGAGGAAGAGAGUCUUCCGGUUCCCCGGCCCCUCGAAUGCCUUCAGGGUAACCUGAUUCCUCCUUUCCUUUCCAAGACCUAUGAUUUGGUCGAAGAUCCUUCUCUUGAUAAGGUGAUCUCAUGGGAACCGAGUGGUGAGAGUUUUGAGGUUUGGGAUCCCGUGGAGUUUGCGAGGGCUGUCCUUCCCCAGAAUUUCAAGCACAACAAUUUCUCCAGUUUUGUGCGCCAGCUAAAUACUUAUGGGUUCCGCAAGGUUGAUACAGAUCGAUGGGAGUUUGCUAAUGAAGAUUUUCUACGAGGAAAGAGGCAUUUGUUGAAGAACAUCCAUAGGCGCAAGUCAAAUCAAACACAUCAGAUUGGGAGCUAUAGUGGGCUAACUACUGAAACAGAAAAGCUUGGAUUGGAAAAAGAAGUAGAAAGGCUUAGGAGGGAGAAGAAUUUCUUAAUGCAGGAGGUUAUAAAGUUGCAGCAGGAACAACAUGGGACAGCUGACCAGGUGGAGACAAUGAAUCAGAGGCUCCAGGCAGCAGAGCAGAGACAGAAGCAGAUGGUCACCUUUUUGGCGAAAGUGCUUCAAAAUCCUACACUCUUAACUCAUCUUCAGAAAAAGGCAGAACAUAGAGGGAUUGCUUCUCCAAGGGUGAAAAGAAAGUUCAUCAAACAGCAUCACCUUGAUCAAAGGAAAUUGGAUCCUUCCAUGGAAGGGCAGAUAGUGAAGUAUAACACUGUUGAAGACAACCUCAAUACGUCCUCAGUAAUGGAAAAGUUAGAUCCAGUCUCUGGUACACAACUUCCUGGUUAUAUCUUACAAGAUAUGGUAGGGAAGUUGGGUCUUGGUGCAGCAAGCAUUCACAUUGAAACUGAAAAUGUUGCAUCCAGUGAAAUGCAGCAAGAACUUGUUGGGGCCUCAAGUCAGAUGGAAGUAGGGACAUUGGACUUGGGAACUCUGGGCUCUGAAGUUGCUCUCCUCAAAGGAAAGAAUGUUAUGAGCCUCCAAGAAGAAGGUAGUGCUGAUUAUUUUGUCUCUUUCCCUGAGGGUUUGGCAAAAGAUAAGACACUUCCAGACUUCAUGUCCCCAGGAACCGAAAGCAUCAGUAAACAGGAUGAUAUAUGGAGCAUGGGUUUUGAUGCCAGUGCUAAUGUCUCUAGUCUCUGUCCUGAUAUGUGGGAUAACGCCAUUAAUUAUGAUGCUCAAGAUCUGGGAAUCAUGGGUGGGAUAUCGGAUCCAUGGGACCUGAGUUCACUACAAGCAGCAGGAGGUGGAACUGAUAAUUCUCAAAACAGGGGUACCUAGGGUUUCAUCUGCUUCAGCAUUGAUGCCCUCAGUAGAUCCCCAUCUUGUAUAUUUUCUUUUCCUAUACAAGGUUUUCUAAACUUCAAUCAACUUAUUAUAAUAUAUACAGUGAUUUAUGGUUUUCAUUCCUUUUUAUUAAUUUCACUGCAAGUUAUAUCCCAUGUAUUAUAAUCUGUUUCUUAAAUUUUAUUUUACCAAUUUUUAUGGGUUCCUAUCUAUAUGCCAAUUGAAUGAAGAAUGCCUUCUCUUAUGAGCUGAACCUGUGUUGCAAGAUUUUCUUGCCAACAGAUCUUUUAAGUUCUGAAUACUGCAAGUUUUUUGACAGCGAGAUCUAUAAGUACUCUUCUGUAGGGAUAUAUAAACAGGUUUGGUUGUCUACUCUAGCAGUCUGGCAUCCAGGUUCUGGGGGAAGAACCGAUGAAACUGAUGCUCCAUGUGCUGCUUGUGGGAUCUGGAGUAGGAGAACAUGGCGAUUGGGUUCUCAUGCAGUUUGUUUCUGUCACAGCUGCAUGGAAUUUCUUAUGAGUUAUCAUUUUGCCUGGUUUUAGGGCAGUUAUUAAUGUAGUAUGUAAAAUAGAUGGAUUUGAAUCUUUGCUGCGUGUAUGUGCAUUGCCAGGAUGUAUUUUGAUUUGUUCCAUCCAUGACGCACCCUGCAUCAAGGUUGUUUUAAGUGCUAAUUCAGUUUGGUUCGCUUUCAAGAAGGAAGAGGAAAAUCUCUUGAAUUUCAAGUUUAGGGUUGUCAAUUGGUCAAGUAGAUCCAACGGACUAACAUUUUUUUUUUCUGUUGAUAAUUACAGCAGACUAAUUGAUCCAACCCUAUAUAACACAGGUUCUGGGUCUGCAUUUCGAGUCUCAAUUUUAGUAUGGAAUGUAACUGAUUUUACCUGUUCUUAUCUGGUAUCAAUCAUGUACAUGCUACAUACGUACUUGUACAGUUGUACACAUCUAUUUGUGUUUCUCAUGGUGUACCUAUGACAAUUUCAUCAAAAUUUGUAAUUUUA